AUUGAACGCUGGCGGCAUGCCUUACACAUGCAAGUCGAACGGCAGCCCGGGGCAACCUGGUGGCGAGUGGCGAACGGGUGAGUAAUGCAUCGGAACGUACCUUUCAGUGGGGGAUAACGUAGCGAAAGUUACGCUAAUACCGCAUAUUCUGUGAGCAGGAAAGCAGGGGAUCGCAAGACCUUGCGCUGAUUGGGCGGCGGAUGUCAGAUUAGCUAGUUGGUGAGGGAAAGGCUCACCAAGGCGACGAUCUGUAGCGGGUCUGAGAGGAUGAUCCGCCACACUGGAACUGAGACACGGUCCAGACUCCUACGGGAGGCAGCAGGGGGGAAUUUUGGACAAUGGGGGCAACCCUGAUCCAGCCAUGCCGCGUGAGUGAAGAAGGCCUUCGGGUUGUAAAGCUCUUUCGGCCGGGAAGAAAUCGCACGGGCUAAUACCCUGUGUGGAUGACGGUACCGGAAUAAGAAGCACCGGCUAACUACGUGCCAGCAGCCGCCGUAACAC
rnacentral:rRNA from 1 species